rnacentral:rRNA from 1 species
CUACGGGGCGCUGCAGUGAGGAAUAUUGCACAAUGGGGGAAACCCUGAUGCAGCAACGCCGCGUGGAGGAUGACGCAUUUCGGUGUGUAAACUCCUUUUAUAUGUCAAGAAAAUGACGGUAGCAUAUGAAUAAGCACCCGCUAACUCCGUGCCAGCAGCCGCGGUAAUACGGAGGGUGCAAGCGUUACUCGGAAUCACUGGGCGUAAAGGACGCGUAGGCGGGUUGUCAAGUCAGGUGUGAAAUCCUACAGCUUAACUGUAGAACUGCACUUGAAACUGGCAGCCUAGAGUAUGGGAGGGGGAGAUGGAAUUAGUAGUGUAGGGGUAAAAUCCGUAGAUAUUACUAGGAAUAUCAAAAGCGAAGGCGAUCUCCUGGAACAUUACUGACGCUAAGGCGUGAAAGCGUGGGGAGCAAACAGGAUUAGAUACCCGAGUAGUC